CGAGCGGAUCUUUCCCUUCGGGAGAAGUUAGCGGCGGACGGGUGAGUAACACGUAGGCAACCUGCCCUCAAGACCGGGAUAACAUUCGGAAACGAAUGCUAAGACCGGAUACGCAAGCCUGGGGCAUCUCGGGCUUGGGAAACACGGCGCAAGCUGUGGCUUGGGGAUGGGCCUGCGGCGCAUUAGCUAGUUGGUGGGGUAACGGCUCACCAAGGCGACGAUGCGUAGCCGACCUGAGAGGGUGAACGGCCACACUGGGACUGAGACACGGCCCAGACUCCUACGGGAGGCAGCAGUAGGGAAUCUUCCACAAUGGGCGCAAGCCUGAUGGAGCAACGCCGCGUGAGUGAGGAAGGCCUUCGGGUCGUAAAGCUCUGUUGCCAGGGAAGAAUAAGGACCAGUUAACUGCUGGUUCGAUGACGGUACCUGAGAAGAAAGCCCCGGCUAACUACGUGCCAGCAGCCGCGGUAAUACGUAGGGGGCAAGCGUUGUCCGGAAUUAUUGGGCGUAAAGCGCGCGCAGGCGGUUUCUUAAGUCUGGUGUUUAAGUGCGGGGCUCAACCCCGUGACGCACUGGAAACUGGGAGACUUGAGUGCAGAAGAGGAGAGCGGAAUUCCACGUGUAGCGGUGAAAUGCGUANAGAUGUGGAGGAACACCAGUGGCGAAGGCGGCUCUCUGGACUGNUACUGACGCUGAAGCGCGAAAGCGUGGGGAGCAAACANGAUUAGAUACCCUGGUAGUCCACGCCGUAAACGAUGAGUGCUANGUGGUUGGGGGGGGUCNACCCCUCCGGUGCGAAAGUUAACACAUUAAGCACUCCGCCUUGGGGAGUACCGUCGCAAGACUUGAACUCAAAGGAUUGGAGGGGGACCCGCCCAACCAUGGGAAUAGGUGGUUAUAUUCCGAGCAACGC
rnacentral:rRNA from 1 species